rnacentral:lncRNA from 1 species
AAUUAAUAAAGACCGACAUAAACAAAUAAGAAAAAGGUUAUAAUAUAUUGAAGUCCCUUGACACUAUCUUAAAUAAUAAUAGUAAUUGCCAUUACAUAUUUCUUUAUUUUGGAUGCAAUGAAAGUCUCAUUCCACGGUAUCUAUCUCCUUAUAUACAACAAUCCUUAUCACUCAACUAACGUGUACAAAUUUCCUCUAUCUAACAUGAGACCUCAACGGCCUUUAACUAACUGAAGAAACCAUAUUUUUUUGGUGCUAGUGUGUGUUUUUUUUUCAGCGGGAGUCCAGACAAAUGAAAGUCGCAGAAGCUCUCCGCCGCCGAUGACGGCGCUACUUUAUUUCUUGCGAAAGCAACGACGGAAAGGCUCUCAUUUCUCAUCUUUGACGAGGAGAAAGAAGAGAUACUCACUACUCAUUUAUAUUUUUCGCAACCAAAAAUAGCAAAAAGGCUUUGUUUUCUUAUCUCAUUGGUGAAUUAUAUUAUUCCUCAAUUUGGGCCCUUCAUGAAUUCACUUAUUUGUGCUGCUUUUUACUGGUGUUACACAGUAUAUUCUACAUAUAUAUAUAUAAUGUUUUUGACUUGAAUGAGAAAGGCCUCUUUAUUAGUUGAAAUAAUAGGAAAUUUAGUUUGGGGAAUCCUUCAGAGGAGUUUCUUCUUCUCUUUAAAAUAAUAAUAAUAAAUAGUGCAUAAUUUUUAUUAAACCUUACUUUUCAAUUUUAUUUUACCUUAUUGUGGCCCGUCAACACAAAAGCAAGAUAGAAUGAUUUUUAUCAAAUCUUAAACGAAUGAUUGUUCAUUUCUAUUCAUUAAUCAUAUUUCUAUUAACUCUUUGAGUGCGUCGUGAAUGCCCCUUAAAGUAACCAAAAUUGAUCGUUACAAUAAAAUAAUGAGGCAUUAAUAGAUUUCAUGUAUUUUAAAGGGACCAUAUCGGGGUCAAUAUGAGUCUCUUAAAUCAAAUAAAA